GACGAACGCUGGCGGCAUGCCUAAUACAUGCAAGUCGAGCGAACAUUUGUAGAAGCUUGCUUCUAUAAAUGUUAGCGGCGGAUGGGUGAGUAACACGUGGGCAACCUGCCCUGCAGAUGGGGAUAACUCCGGGAAACCGGGGCUAAUACCGGAUAAUCAGUUUGUCCGCAUGGACAAACUCUAAAAGACGGCUUCGGCUGUCACUGCAGGAUGGGCCCGCGGCGCAUUAGCUAGUUGGUGGGAUAACGGCCUACCAAGGCAACGAUGCGUAGCCGACCUGAGAGGGUGAUCGGCCACACUGGGACUGAGACACGGCCCAGACUCCUACGGGAGGCAGCAGUAGGGAAUCUUCCACAAUGGACGGAAGUCUGAUGGAGCAAUGCCGCGUGAGCGAAGAAGGUGUUCGGAUCGUAAAGCUCUGUUGUGAGGGAAGAACAAGUACGGGAGUAACUGCCCGUACCUUGACGGUACCUCAUUAGAAAGCCACGGCUAACUACGUG
rnacentral:rRNA from 1 species